rnacentral:siRNA from 1 species
AGCAUUUGCCAAGGAUGUUUUC